rnacentral:rRNA from 1 species
AUUGAACGCUGGCGGCAGGCUUAACACAUGCAAGUCGAGCGGGGUGAUGGUGCUUGCACUAUCACUUAGCGGCGGACGGGUGAGUAAUGCUUAGGAAUCUGCCUAUUAGUGGGGGACAACAUCUCGAAAGGGAUGCUAAUACCGCAUACGUCCUACGGGAGAAAGCAGGGGAUCACUUGUGACCUUGCGCUAAUAGAUGAGCCUAAGUCGGAUUAGCUAGUUGGUGGGGUAAAGGCCUACCAAGGCGACGAUCUGUAGCGGGUCUGAGAGGAUGAUCCGCCAAGCUGGGACUGGGACACGGCCCAGACUCCUACGGGAGGCAGCAGUGGGGAAUAUUGGACAAUGGGGGGAACCCUGAUCCAGCCAUGCCGCGUGUGUGAAGAAGGCCUUAUGGUUGUAAAGCACUUUAAGCGAGGAGGAGGCUCUUUUGGUUAAUACCCAAGAUGAGUGGACGUUACUCGCAGAAUAAGCACCGGCUAACUACGUGCCAGCAGCCGCGGUAA